rnacentral:rRNA from 1 species
AAUCUUCCACAAUGGGCGAAAGCCUGAUGGAGCAACGCCGCGUGAGGGAAGAAGGUUUUCGGAUCGUAAAACACUGUUGUAAGAGAAGAAUGACAUUGAGAGUAACUGUUCAAUGUGUGACGGUAUCUUACCAGAAAGGAACGGCUAAAUACGUGCCAGCAGCCGCGGUAAUACGUAUGUUCCAAGCGUUAUCCGGAUUUAUUGGGCGUAAAGCGAGCGCAGACGGUUAUUUAAGUCUGAAGUGAAAGCCCUCAGCUCAACUGAAGAAUUGCUUUGGAAACUGGAUGACUUGAGUGCAGUAGAGGAAAGUGGAACUCCAUGUGUAGCGGUGAAAUGCGUAGAUAUAUGGAAGAACACCAGUGGCGAAGGCGGCUUUCUGGACUGUAACUGACGUUGAGGCUCGAAAGUGUGGGUAGCAAACA